rnacentral:rRNA from 1 species
GACAGAGGUGCCAAGCGUUGUUCGGAUUCACUGGGCGUAAAGGGUGCGUAGGUGGUCAGGUAAGUCUGAUGUGAAAUCUCCGGGCUCAACCCGGAAAUGGCAUUGGAUACUAUCUGGCUAGAGGAGUGGAGGGGGGGGACUGGAAUACUUGGUGUAGCAGUGAAAUGCGUAGAUAUCAAGUGGAACACCAGUGGCGAAGGCGAGUCCCUGGACAACACCUGACACUGAGGCACGAAAGCUAGGGGAGCAAACAGG